GUGAGGAAUAUUGGUCAAUGGGCGAGAGCCUGAACCAGCCAAGUAGCGUGAAGGAUGAAGGUCCUACGGAUUGUAAACUUCUUUUAUACGGGAAUAAAGUUUCCUACGUGUAGGAUUUUGUAUGUACCGUAUGAAUAAGCAUCGGCUAACUCCGUGCCAGCAGCCGCGGUAAUACGGAGGAUGCGAGCGUUAUCCGGAUUUAUUGGGUUUAAAGGGAGCGCAGACGGGAGAUUAAGUCAGUUGUGAAAGUUUGCGGCUCAACCGUAAAAUUGCAGUUGAUACUGGUUUCCUUGAGUGCAGUUGAGGCAGGCGGAAUUCGUGGUGUAGCGGUGAAAUGCUUAGAUAUCACGAAGAACUCCGAUUGCGAAGGCAGCACACUAAUCCGUAACUGACGUUCAUGCUCGAAAGUGUGGGUAUCAAACAGGAUUAGAAACCCGGGUAGUCC
rnacentral:rRNA from 1 species